GGAACACAGCUCAGUGGUAAAGCACUUACCUAGAAUGCACAGGCUCUGGGUUCAAUCCCCAGUACCA
rnacentral:tRNA from 1 species